CCAACUAUAAAUUUUAAUCCAACAUCGAGGUCGCAAUCUUUCUUUUCGAUAAGAACUCUAAAAAAAAUUACGCUGUUAUCCCUAANGUAAUUUAAUCUUUUAAUCUAAAUAAUCMGGAUCAAAUAAUCMUAAAUAAAUGUUYUUAUUAAAAUAAAGUUCUAUUAAUUUUUCUAUCACCCCAACMAAAUAUAAAACUUUUAAAAAAAUCUUUUUUUAACUAUAAAAUUUUUUUAAAACCCUYAUAUAAAACUCUAUAGGGUCUUCUCGUCUUCUAUGCAUAUCUAGGCYUUUUAACCUAGAAAUAAAAUUCUAAUAAAUUUUUAUAGAGACAGAAAACUUUUCAUCRAACCUUUCAUACAAGCUUCCAAUUAAAAAACUAAUGAUUAUGCUACCUUUGCACGGUCARUAUACCGCGGCCAUUUAAAUAAUCA
rnacentral:rRNA from 1 species